rnacentral:snRNA from 1 species
GUGCUCACUUUGGCAGCACAUAUACUAAAAUUGGAACGAUACAGAGAAGAUUAGCAUCGCCCCUGUGCAAGGAUGACACAUAAAUUCAUGAAGCAUUCCAUAUUUAA